rnacentral:rRNA from 1 species
ACGGCGAGUGAAGCAGCAAUAGCUCAAAUUUGAAAUCUGGCGUCUUCGACGUCCGAGUUGUAAUUUGUAGAGGAUGCUUCUGAGUAACCACCGACCUAAGUUCCUUGGAACAGGACGUCAUAGAGGGUGAGAAUCCCGUAUGCGGUCGGAAAGGUGCUCUACACGUAGCUCCUUCGACGAGUCGAGUUGUUUGGGAAUGCAGCUCUAAAUGGGAGGUAAAUUUCUUCUAAAGCUAAAUAUUGGCCAGAGACCGAUAGCGCACAAGUAGAGUGAUCGAAAGAUGAAAAGCACUUUGGAAAGAGAGUUAAAAAGCACGUGAAAUUGUUAAAAGGGAAGGGAUUGCAACCAGACUUGCUCGCGGUGUUCCGCCGGUCUUCUGACCGGUCUACUCGCCGCGUUGCAGGCCAGCAUCGUCUGGUGCCGCUGGAUAAGACUUGAGGAAUGUAGCUCCCUCGGGAGUGUUAUAGCCUCUUGUGAUGCAGCGAGCGCCGGGCGAGGUCCGCGCUUCGGCUAGGAUGCUGGCGUAAUGGUCGUAAUCCGCCCGUCUU